AGUGAGCUUGCAAGUCCCAUUGAAGUUGCCUGUUUGCAGGUAUGGUUUGGAUUCAAAAUAACCUGUUUAUAGACAUUUUCCCCCUGCAAAGCAAAUGCUAUCUACAUUGAGACUGUUCUCAGUUUCAAAUGAGGUUUUCUAUGCUUGAGUAACACAUUGCUUGCCUGGGUGCAUGAAACUGUUUGUGCAAUUCUUUGUAUCCCGUUGAAUAAUAAUGGGUCAGAAACCAAGCCCUGCCAUGAUACUUCACAGCACUGAUACCUAUUGCUGUUUAUUUAGAGACAACCUUUUAACCUAUUACCUUCUGAGUUAGAAGAAAACACACAACAUAAAGAAAAAUAAGCAUUUACAGAUGCAUCAUGAAAUAAUAAAGAUAUAGGCCCUAAAAUGUGUGGGAUUAAUCAGAAGGCCCUUUAAAAGGACACCGAAAAGCAACAGAAUCAUCAUAUUGCCAGCCCUCUUUUGCAGUGAGAAUUUGGCAUUUGUGUUUGAUGUGCAAUUUAGUGCCGAAUUGGAAAAUUGCACUAAACGUUAUGCAUUUGCUAUCAGUCCAAUAAUAUGUAGGUAAAUUGCUGCAAAUCAUGUGAAACACAACUAUGCGAUGGCUUUGGAAGCUCAGACACCUGCCUGCUAUUUAGUUGUAUAAUCUGGAUUUCUCUUAAAACUCUGUGAAAUAGCUUCAGUCCCUGAAAGAUCUUCCCACAAUUUGUCAGAGUUAAAUGAAGAAUCGGAUAUCUGCCCGUGCAGUAAAUAACUCAAUACAUUCAUAGUCCUUUCCAUCUGUCGACUUGAUGUCUGUUCUUGAUGCGACUGUGAAUAAAGGAUCAUAGUGUGACGGGAUGGUGCAUUACCAUAAAAUCAGGUUUUGUGAAAGACCUUUCUGUUCACAUGGCCUGCAGUUGGUAAUUACCAUGGUAAUCUACUCUGAAAUAUCAACCCUCAAAUACAUCAAAGAGCCACCACAGUAGGCUACUCUGCUUGCUCACCACAUAAAGGUUAAUUUGUGUACAGCUAUGUUUUCACAGUCGAAGUAAUAUUUUCAAAGGUGAUAGAAAUCAGCUUUACAUUAACCAAAAAGAAUGGCCAAUAACUUUCAUUUGUUUGUGCUCAGCUGGAGUGACAAAGAACAUUUUAAACACUGCUGCUGACUAACAGAUUGCCAGAGGAAGUGGUAAUAUUAUGUCUGUUGUUAAUUUUUUCCACAGCAAAUAUAUUUAUUAUGGAUUUUAAAAUCAAUGGGGCUUACAAGUGCUUUGCAGAAUCUAGUAUAAUAAAGGCACGCAUACACAAAAUUGUUACUAAUAAAUUCAACAUUUCCAAGCAGGCAUGCAAUUGAAAUAUAGGCAAGUGCCUGUACUAAACAGGAAUGCUAUUGUUUCAUCUUGGAUCCAAUAUUUGUAGGCCAAAAGGUUAAGAUUGCCUGCAUCUGUGGUGCAACCCUAAGCAUGCUUACUCAAGAAUACAUUCCUGUAUAUUCAAAACUAUGCACACUUGCUUGAGAAUAAGCCUCCACUGAAGUCAGUGGGACUUCUGAGAAACCCUUCAUAAGCUUGCCCUGUAAAAGUGAAAUGCUAUGUGGAGUUGAUGGAGCCUGUUUUCCAUAGGAUAGGGCUGCCCACUAGUCUUGCUUUGGAAUAAUUCCCUCUGAUAGAAAAUUCAGGUGGCUGAGUGCUCACAGGUUUGAAACCGAAGCAGGUCUAUUAGGAAAUAAUAGGCCGGUAUCAGUUGUGACAAAACAAAUCUCUUCAUUUUGGGUUCUCUGUUUCUCAUUUUUCAAAUCUUUUCAGUUUUCCACAUUUAUGCAUGUUUCCUCAGCGUUUAAAUUUGAAUUUCUCCUAAUACACACAUUUUGUUACGCAAUUUUGCCUAAUACGCAUAUUUUUGCAAGCAAUUUCCCAGCGGUAUGUAGCUUAAUACAUGCAUUUUAUGCACACUUUAUCCUAGGUAUAUGCAUCUUUGUACCAUUACUUGGCUGGACAGCUGCAUUGCAAAAUUCUGAGAAGCACAAAUUUCAAUGUUUUAGUGCACACAUUGUUUGUGCAACUGCAAAUUAAGGAUUAUGGCAUUCCUGUAUAAAUAAGUUCCCUCUGCAUCAGAGCUAGUUUGGCCUAUUUGAUCUGCUCGACUUCUUGCACUCUGCUGCAGUCCUGCGCACAAUUACAUGGGAGUAAAUCCCCCUGAAUCCAGUGAAACUUACUUCUGCAGAAACAUCUAUAGGAUUGUGCUGCAUGAUACC